UUUUAUUCUCUUUAUCAUGAUAAAAGCUCAGGUAGCACAACCAAAUGGAGGUCAAUAAAACGGACUCAAGCAGUCCACCAGUUCCAGUUUGAACUUAAACAAUCCAUCAAAUCGGACAUAACUAAUUCUCCAGUUCGGACUUAAGCGGUCGAUAAACAAUCCAACAGUUCCGACAUGAACAAUUCCCCAAUUCGACCUUAAGCAGUCCAUAAACAUUCCAUUAGAUCAGACAUAACCAAUUUUCCAGUUCGACCAUAAGCUGUCCAUAAACAGUCCAUCAGUUCAGACAUAACCAAUUCUCCAAUUCGGACUUAAGCAAUCUAUAAACAGUCCUUCAAUUCGAACAUAACCAAUUCUCCAAUUUCGCUUUAAGCGAUCCAUAAAGAGUUCAUCAAUUCGUAUAUAACCAAUUCUCCAAUUCGGACUUAAGCGAUCCAUAAAUAGUCCAUCAGAUCAAAUAUAACCGAUUCUCCAAUUCGGCCUUAAGCGGUCCAUAAACAAUCCAUCAAUUCGAACAUAAACAGUCCAUCAACUCGAACUUAAGCAGUCCACACGUUCGAGCCUAAGCAGCUCACCUAGUUCGGACUUAAGCAAUCCACUCCAAUUUGAACAGACUUAAGCAGUCCACGCCAAUUUAAAUGGACUUAAGCAAUCCAUCUAUUCGAGCUUGAGCAACUCACUCAUAUGGACUUCAGCAGUCCAUCUAUUCGAGCUUAAGUAGCUUGCCUAUUCGAACUUAGGCAGUCCACCCAUUCGAGCUUAACCUCAAUAAAUUCGAACUUAAAGCAGUUCACACCGAGCUGAAGCAACUCAACACUUAAAUGGACUCGAUCCACCUAUUCGGACUUAAAGCAGUCCAUUCAUUACAGUUUAAGUAAUUCAGCUACAACACUCUACCAGCUAUAACAUUUGUUAGACAUAAAUAACUAACUCCUUUUGGGGGACUACUAAUAAUAUAUAAUAAUAAAAUAUAUCAAAUAAUAAUAUAUAAAUAUAUAUUGAAUAAUAUUAGACUUCCAAAUAAAUUCUAACUAACAGAUAAUGUAAGAUUCUCACAAUCCUUAUCCUAGUAGAAUCUAUCUUGAACCCAAUAUAUAUAUAUCCCAAAUUUGCUCCAAAUAGGGACGAAUUCUCAAAUACUCUCAAUUCUCAAUUCAGAUGGUUAACACUAGCAACCCAUUUUAAUCGUCAAUCCAUUAUACAUACAUAUAUAUACAUCAACCAACACAAAAUCUUGAAAGUAUACUCACUUAUAUAUAUGUGACCUUCUAAUACAACAUAAAAACUAAAAUAAUCGUCGCCAACUUGCAGAAAUCGAAGUUUUCUAUAUUAACUCAUGGAUUAAAUAUUAGCUAACUAAUUCCUAUCAAAAAUCAAAUUUACAACUUCAAUAUACCGUACCAAGCUACAAUUUACAAAAAUAAUUUGAAAUAAUUACUGCCAUAUAAAAAAGUAUAAGUUUCAUGAUUAAAUUUUCAUACUUUACGCACUAGCUAACUCACUACCCUACAAGAACUUAGUUUGCAACCUCUCGCACUCAUCCCAAAUACGAUAAUUCAAGAAACCAACUAAUUUAAUUGCUGCUAGCUCAAGGAAUUCAAAGUUUUCUACUUUAUACCCAUAAUAUAUCCACUGGUUUUGCACAUUUCUUAAUAAAAUUCGGUCAUAGUUCAUUUUAAAGAGUAAAAUUUGAAGUUCCUAACUAUAUACACUAACAGCAGUUAAUUAAGGAUUUAAAUUCUAACCAAAAUAAUUUAUGCGACAAAUCAUAUACCCUAGAUCAAAGAAUUCAUGAUUUAAAUCUAAAAGAGUUGAAAUAUGGCUUACUCAGUCGCGAAAAAUGACAGAAAAAUCGAAUAUAUCCGGUUAAAAUGACCAGCAGCAGCUCCGAUGCUCAAAAUCGAUUCUGUCGAAGUAAGCUUGGCUGGAAUGGAUGAAGGUUAUGGCCAGCGAAGCUACUAGAGGCGGUGGAAGUUUGUAACUGGCCAGUUCCUUGGCUCGUCUGGCCGAAGACGCCAAAAGAAUAGAGAGAGAGGGCUGUCCCAAUCGACAAAAGCCCCCACGGUCUCUCUAGUUGUCGCGCUAAGACUGGCAAGCUGGAAAUAAGGGAUAAAGGUGACUGGAGACGCUGCUAAGGAGAGGAAGGGAUCACGUCCGCCAGCUGAGGGUUAGUGUCGUCAGAAAGUGAAAGGAAAUACAAGAAUCGCGUUGUCCGGAUCGAAAACAAAUCGCAGUGUCCGGUGAUAGCCGCAGCAACCAGAAACUAUGGCGGAGGAGUGAGUGGCAGAGAACAAUGGCAAGGAGAAGCUCCGAUCAGCUCUACUCGAGUUCAGGUGGCCGGAAAACGAAGGAGAGGCUGAAGACUCGUUAUCCCGAUCAGAACGGAACCGCAGCUUCCUGUGAUUACUAUGCCAACCGGGGAGAACAGCGAGGAGAGAGAAGGCUGCGUCAAGGCGGCAGGGAGAAGCUCUAGCCGGCGUGGUGACUGGAAAAAUGAAAGGGGAUAGAGGAGGGGGCUGUCGGCGCUAAUGAGAGGGAGAGGAAAAUUGUAUUAGGACAAAAUGGGUAUUUUUCGUAACCUAGGGUUUCUAGAUGGUUCUAGUAUCGUUUGGGUUUGAUUUGGAUCCGGUUUGAUCCAAAUCAGGGGUUUUACUUGGUUUUCAAUUGAUUUAGUGAUUUCCAAUUGGUUUAAUUUAGUUUUUAGGUUUGGUUUAACUGUAUAAAAUAUAUUUGCAUUUAAUUUUGUUAAAUAAAUUCAUAGGAUGUUAAUUUAUUUAAUUUUAAAUAUAAUAAUAUUCUAUAAUGCUAUUGGUUUAGAAUUUAUAAUUAAAUUUUUAAAUGAA
rnacentral:lncRNA from 1 species